CAUAGAGCAUUGGAACCACCUGAUCCCAUCCCGAACUCAGCAGUGAAACGAUGCAUCGCCGAUGGUAGUGUGGGGUUUCCCCAUGUGAGAGUAGGUC
rnacentral:rRNA from 2 species